rnacentral:rRNA from 1 species
AUGGUGAGCGCGGGCCGAAGGCCGGCCUCGAUGUCGGGCGGCAAAAUUUCUCGGAGCAGCAUUACAACGACAUGGAUACGACCAUGGAGUCCUCCAUUGGGAAGGUUUUUGCUCCCUAGCUUUGAAUGCUGCCCAUGGUGGAGGAGGCCACCUCAAUUGGAGAACCAACACUAUGUGAGCCCCAAAGGAAACCAUUGGUCGGUUGAUUCCGGGAUGGGAGUUCUCAAUUGGCUUCAGCUUUGGAGAAACCGCGGCAUUGGCUUUGCUUGUCAUUCUACCAUCUUUUCCUUCUCAUUUAGUACUACUUUAUUUAUGAAGAAAAGACAUCCAAAGGGCAUCUCAGAUCUGGUAAUGCGGAAAACAGGAGUUGAUACAAUGGAAAGACAACUAGACGCAGUACCAUUACGCUUGUUUGUGUUAUUGUAA